rnacentral:rRNA from 1 species
UACGAAGGAUGCGAGCGUUAUCCGGAUUUAUUGGGUUUAAAGGGAGCGUAGGCGGUCUUAUAAGUCAGUGGUGAAAUCUCGUUGCUUAACAACGAACGUGCCAUUGAUACUGUAGGACUUGAGUACAGAUGCCGUUGGCGGAAUGUGUCAUGUAGCGGUGAAAUGCAUAGAUAUGACACAGAACACCGAUUGCGAAGGCAGCUGACGAAACUGUAACUGACGCUGAGGCUCGAAAGCGUGGGGAUCAAACAGG